rnacentral:RNase_P_RNA from 1 species
GAGGAAAGUCCGGGCUCUAUUUAUAAAAAUAUUGUUGUAUAAAUACAGUGUGGGAAACCAUAAGGAUAGUGCCACAGAAAGAUUCCACCUUAUAUGGGCAAGGGUGCAAUGGUUCGGUAAGAGCGUACCAGAAGUAUUUUUAAUAUAUUUGCUAGGUAAACCCCAUAUUAGAGCAAAGUAAUCAAUUACAUUAAAUAGUUCUUGUAAACUUUUUUAAUCCUGAAGAUCUGAUUGAUUCGUAUACUGCAUUAAAGUUAAAUUCAACUUGAGAUUAAUAAUUACCCUUUUUGUAUAAAUAAAUUUAGUUAAUAAAUAUAAUGUAAAUUUAUAUUUUUAUUAUCCAGAAAGAACAAAACCCGGCUUAU